GCCGGGGUAGCUCAGGGGUAGAGCGCAUCCUUGGUAAGGAUGAGGUCACGAGUUCAAUUCUCGUCCUCGGCUCAA
rnacentral:tRNA from 1 species